AUACCCCUGUUGUCAACGGUUAUUAUGGUCAAGAGCAAGUCUGACAUGGCACUCGACUUCAAACAAGGGAAGGAAACCGAAGAUUGCACGGGGCUGAUAGCAAGACAGACAAGCAGGAGAUUCUGUCUCAUGUUAUUGUUAAGAGCAUGUGUGGCAUGCCUAGCAAGAAACCUGAAGCCAGCUCCUUGAGAUUGCUCCCUCUUUCACUCUGGAGAUUCCUAAAAGUCAAUGCAAGAAUUCUAGAAAGGAGCCCCUGAUGGAUGCCAAGGGUGUCAUUUGAAUGGGCACCAUUGUUGCUGGAGAGGAUGUGGAGAAAUAGGAACACUUUUACACUGUUGGUGGGACUGUAAACUAGUUCAACCAUUGUGGAAGACAGUGUGGCGAUUCCUCAAGGAUCUAGAACUAGAAAUACCAUUUGACCCAGCAAUCCCAUUACUGGGUAUAUACCCAAAGGAUUAUAAAUCAUGCUGCUAUAAAGACACAUAAACACAUAUGUUUAUUGCGGCACUAUUCACAAGAGCAAAGACUUGGAACCAACCCAAAUGUCCAUCAAUGACAGACUGGAUUAAGAAAAUGUGGCACAUAUACACCAUGGAAUACUAUGCAGCCAUAAAAAAAGAUGAGUUCAUGUCCUUUGUAGGGACAUGGAUGAAGCUGGAAACCAUCAUUCUGAGCAAACUAUCGCAAGGACAGGAAACCAAACACCGCAUAUUCUCACGCAUAGGUGGGAAUUGAACAAUGAGAACACUUGGACACAGGGUGGGGAAUAUCACACACCGGGGCCUGUAGUGGGGUUGGGGGAGGGGGAGGGAUAGCAUUAGGAGAUAUACGUAAUGUAAAUGAUGAGUUAAUGGGUGCAGCACAGCAACAUGGCACGUAUACAUAUGUAACAAACCUGCAUGUUGUGCACAUGUACCUUAGAACUUAAAGUAUAAAAAAAAAAAAAAGAAUGGGCACCAUUGUGUCCAAGGUGUGCUGUGGAUAUAGUUUGUGUCAUAAGUGAAGGAGAGCUCUCUGAGUUCAUGUUCUCCAAUUGGAGUGCCAUGGACACUUCAAAGUAUCUGUCCAAAGAACAUGUUCAUAAGAGAUGCCAAAAAGCACUGUGCUUGUUUAUAUCCGGGGCAUCUUUGGGCCACUUGGUCUUUAGUCUUCCAAAGACUGAUUGCCUUAUGGAAGUAGAGACUGUUCAACAUGGAAUACUUAAUAAGCAGGUGCUUAAUAAACAUUUGAUUGAUUGAUGAAGGGACUUUAAACUUUUCCAAAGAUGCUACCGCUCCCUUUACCCCUGUCUGGAGAAUGCCUUUCUUCCUUACUUUCAAAUUUCCUUUGUUGGACACUGACUGCAGAUCCUGGUAUCGGCAGUAGCUUGAGUAUCAUGGCAGAGCAGAGAACAUCUUGCUCCUAAGGAAUGGACUCUAGGGUACCUGUUUUCACCUGCAGUGUUGUCAUUUAUUCAUUCAACAAAUAUUUAGUGAACACUAUGUGCCAGGCGUGGUGCUGGACUCUACAAAUACAAAGAUGAACACACAUGGUCCCUGGCCUUGCCAAGUUUACAUAAAGCACUGUGGGUGUAUUACUGUGCUCCGGAUGCUGUACCAAAAUACCACAGGCUGAAUGGCUUAAGGUCCAGCAGGGUUGGCUUCUGGUGAGGGCCCUCUUCCUGGUUUGCAGAUGGCCACCUUCUCCUUCUUGCUAUGCCCUCACAUAGCCUUUCCUUGGUGCAUGUGUGAGGGGAGAGGGAGGGUGUUCUCUGGGGUCUCUUCUUAUAAGAACACAUCUUAUUGGAUCAGAACCCCACCUUUAUGCCCUCAUUUAACACUAAUUAUAUCCUUAGAGGUCCUAUCUCCAACUGCAGCCAUAUUGGGGGUUAGGGCUUUAACAUAUGCAUUUAGGGGGGACAUAAACAUUCAGUUCAUAAAAAUGAGGCACAUGAACAAAUGAAAAAGCAAUUACCUGUAAGCAGUAAAAGCAUAAAAACAAGCAGGAGGUAGUAUACACUAAAUUUAGGAUGGGGAGGGAAGGGGAUGCAAAGAGAGAGAGGUAUGCAGGGGCUUAAACUGGUAUUUGCUAUAUCUACUGGUAAUGAUUUGUCUUCAUUCAAGACCUACAAAAGUCUUCAUUGUAUUAUUCUUUACACCUUUAAGUAUUAAUUAUUUCACAAUAUUUAAAAAAUAAUAGAAGACACUAUUAUUGUGCAAUGUAGUAAGAGGUAACUAGGGGGGCAUGCUCAACAUGCUGUAGGAGCACAUAGAAGGGGAAUCAGGAAGGGUAUAAAAAAGAUGGCAUCUACAGAGGAGUAGAAGGGGCCCAGGUGCAGGGGGAAGGCAGUGGUGAGUGGUCAGUAGAAGGACCAAGGCCAGGCUGGGAGUGGUGGUCCAUGCCUGUAAUCCCAGCAUUCUGGGAGGCCAAGGUGGGAGGACUGCUUGAGCCCAGGAGUUUGAGUGUAGUCUGGGCAACAUGGUGAAACCUCAUCUCUCCAAAAAAAUCCAAAAAUUAGCCGGGUGUGGUGGCGUAGGCCUGUAGUGCCCUCUACUUGGAAGGCUGAGAGGCAGGAGGAUUGCUUGAGCCUGGGAAGUCAAGACUGCAGUGAGCUGUGAUCAAGCCACUGCACUCCAGCCUGGGCAACAGAGCAAGGCCCUGUCUCAAAAAAAAAAAAAAAAAAAAAAAAAUUACCAAGGCCAGAAGUCUUGCCGGGCUGACCUCAGCAAGCUUACUUUCUCUGAGUUGCUUAAUUUGGGAAUUCAGAAGACAGGGUGAGCUAUACUGUUUAACUUGGCUUUUGGGGUGAUGUGGCCUGUGGGGCCAAUGUCUGGCCUUUUUUGCCUGCUCAGUGGUGUGGCUGUGUUUGGCACGUGAAUUAUGUUUGACUUUGGCCAUGUCUUUGAAGGCAAUCUCUCUUUGCUGCUGUGGCAUCUAGAACAGGUGGUGUUUACAGCGUUUCCCAGAAUUGCCUGCUUCCUAGGACUUUACCUAUCCAUUUGUCCCUCUAUUCAUUCAUCCAGCAUCCAUUCACUGAGCACCUACUCUGCCAGGUAUUAGGCCAGGUGCUAGGGCUUGAAGGCCCAUCAACCUAGUCCUGGGCCUUGAGGAGCUUGACAAGCAAUGGAAAAUAGCAUGGGCAUCCACAUCUCCAAGCACAUCCUUAUACCUCAUCUCAUUUAGCCCUCGGGCUGCCCUGUGUGGCAGGUUUCCAUUCUAUGAUUGAGGAAGCUGAGACUUGAAAGGAAAGUGACUUGAUAUUUGACUCUAAGCUAAGGGGCUUUUCCCACUAUGCCAGGCUGCCUUUACUGAUGUUGGGCAUGGUCGGAAGAGCUCAGACCACGGCUGCCCCCUCUCUUCCUGGGAAAGACACCCUCAGACAGGUCUUUACAUCCCAUCCUGUUUUACGAAGGUUUCUGAGAAUGAGCAGGGAGAAGGACCUACAAGUAACCUUUAUAGUCAUUCAGUCCAACCACCUCACUGAUGACUUGGUUACCCAGAGGAUAAAGAAAAGCUUAGCUUACCAGAAACUCCAGCCCCUGUUAUUAUGAAAAAGAACAGGACAAGUCUUGAGACCCCUAGAGGAGGCCUCUGAUCUGGAGAGAAUCGACAGAGGAGCCAGACCCAGAGUCCCCUGGAGGGAGCCAGGUCUGCAGAAGCUCAGAAACUCAGUCCUGCCUUUCUUGCAUAUGGAGUCCAUGGUCAUAGUAGCAGUGUCCUGGCUCUACCCAGAGUGUCCAAUGGCUUCCUGUCCCUCUGGACUUGUCAUUUAGUGGGCAAAGUCCAAGAUCACACCUCUCACUCCUGCCCCCACCUCUUGCCCCUGUUUUAUCUCACUUGGGAAUAAUCUGUUCCCAUGUGAAGCCAACGAAAAUGAGCCUCCACCAGUGUGGGGUAACCCAACAGGCAGAUUUGGUAUGGACACAGGGCCCCAGCCAGAUGAAGACAUCCCAAAGUUGAGAAGAGUUCAGUAAUCAGAAAAUCUAAAAAGAUGCUCUUUUAAUUUCAGCACACAUGUACAUUUUGUGUUGUCUGGUGAGUAUUAGGAAUUAUAUUUGGAGAGAGACUGCAAUCUUUAUAGGGUUCAGGGCCUUUUAAGGUCUUACUCGGACCUUGGACAACCAAGAGGGAAAGGGCCAACAGGUGUGAGGAAAAUAAGUUGUGAGGCUGCAGGGAGGAAGAGGAUGGCUCACCAGGAUGAAGAAAAGGGAAGGAGAGGAGCUCUCAGUGGUGCAAUUGGUUAGCGUGUGGCACUUACAUGAAAAGGGAAGGAGGGCUUGGCACAGGCUAGCGGGAAGCCUCAGGUCACCCUGACACCUGUUGCCAUGGCCCGGCGGCGGUUUCCUGACUUGUCAGGACGUGUGCACAGAGAGAACAAUGGGUUUGCCUUGACAGGAAGAUGCUUCCUGUUUUGCUGCAUGGGUUCAUUGUUGGGCAUUAAGAGGGAGGGGUCUAUGUGUCUGUGUUUUUCGUGUUGCCAAAAGCUCUCUGAGGGGAGAAGUGGGGGUGAGUGAGGACGGGGGUCUGAGGAAAGGUGAAAGGGAAAGGAAGGGAGCAGUUAUUCUUCCAGAAUUGCUCAGCCAAACCUCACGCCAUUCUAGUUUCAGCCAACCAGAGAGGGUGGGGCUGGCCCUGCUGUCCUACUGUCCCCAAGAGCUCUAAGCCCAGAGCUUUUGUGCAUGACUGAGGGCUGCCCAGAAUCCCUCCUUUUGUUCC
rnacentral:lncRNA from 1 species